rnacentral:rRNA from 1 species
AGCAGCCGCGGUAAUUCCAGCUCCAAUAGCGUAUAUUAAAGUUGUUGCAGUUAAAAAGCUCGUAGUUGAAUUUCGGGGUCAGUAGGCUGGUCGUGCCACAGGUAUGUACUGGUCUUACUGAUUCCUCCUUCCUGAUGAACCGUAAUGCCAUUAAUUUGGUGUUGCGGGGAAUCUGGACUGUUACUUUGAAAAAAUUAGAGUGUUUAAAGCAGGCUAACGCUUGAAUACAUUAGCAUGGAAUAAUGAAAUAGGACGAUCGAUCCUAUUUUGUUGGUUUCUAGGAUUGACGUAAUGAUUAAUAGGGAUAGUUGGGGGCAUUAGUAUUCAAUUGUCAGAGGUGAAAUUCUUGGAUUUAUUGAAGACUAACUACUGCGAAAGCAUUUGCCAAGGAUGUUUUCAUUAAUCAAGAACGAAAGUUAGGGGAUCGAAGACGAUCAGAUACCGUCGUAGUCUUAACCAUAAACUAUGCCGACUAGGGAUCGGACGAUGUAAUUUUUUAAUGACUCAUUCGGCGCCUUAA